ensembl:snRNA U6 U6 spliceosomal RNA
GUGCUAGCUUUGGCAGUGCCUAUACUAAAAUUGGAAUGAUACAGAGAAGAUGAACAUGCUCCCUGUGUGAGGAUGACACACUAAUUUGUGAAGCAUUCUGUAUUUUU